rnacentral:rRNA from 1 species
UCAUUAACUGAAUCCAUAGGUUAAUGAGGCGAACCGGGGGAACUGAAACAUCUAAGUACCCCGAGGAAAAGAAAUCAACCGAGAUUCCCCCAGUAGCGGCGAGCGAACGGGGAGGAGCCCAGAGCCUGAAUCAGCAUGUGUGUUAGUGGAAGCGUCUGGAAAGGCGCGCGAUACAGGGUGACAGCCCCGUACACAAAAGCGCAUGUGCUGUGAGCUCGAUGAGUAGGGCGGGACACGUGGUAUCCUGUCUGAAUAUGGGGGGACCAUCCUCCAAGGCUAAAUACUCCUGACUGACCGAUAGUGAACCAGUACCGUGAGGGAAAGGCGAAAAGAACCCCGGCGAGGGGAGUGAAAAAGAACCUGAAACCGUGUACGUACAAGCAGUGGGAGCACAGGUUUACCUGUGUGACUGCGUACCUUUUGUAUAAUGGGUCAGCGACUUAUAUUCUGUAGCAAGGUUAACCGAAUAGGGGAGCCGGAGGGAAACCGAGUCUUAAUUGGGCGUUAAGUUGCAGGGUAUAGACCCGAAACCCGGUGAUCUAGCCAUGGGCAGGUUGAAGGUUGGGUAACACUAACUGGAGGACCGAACCGACUAAUGUUGAAAAAUUAGCGGAUGACCUGUGGCUGGGGGUGAAAGGCCAAUCAAACCGGGAGAUAGCUGGUUCUCCCCGAAAGCUAUUUAGGUAGCGCCUCGUGAAUUCAUCUCCGGGGGUAGAGCACUGUUUCGGCUAGGGGGCCAUCCCGGCUUACCAACCCGAUGCAAACUGCGAAUACCGGAGAAUGUUAUCACGGGAGACACACGGCGGGUGCUAACGUCCGUCGUGAAGAGGGAAACAACCCAGACCGCCAGCUAAGGUCCCAAAGUCAUGGUUAAGUGGGAAACGAUGUGGGAAGGCCCAGACAGCCAGGAUGUUGGCUUAGAAGCAGCCAUCAUUUAAAGAAAGCGUAAUAGCUCACUGGUCGAGUCGGCCUGCGCGGAAGAUGUAACGGGGCUAAACCAUGCACCGAAGCUGCGGCAGCGACACUGUGUGUUGUUGGGUAGGGGAGCGUUCUGUAAGCCUGCGAAGGUGGCCUGUGAGGGUUGCUGGAGGUAUCAGAAGUGCGAAUGCUGACAUAAGUAACGAUAAAGCGGGUGAAAAGCCCGCUCGCCGGAAGACCAAGGGUUCCUGUCCAACGUUAAUCGGGGCAGGGUGAGUCGACCCCUAAGGCGAGGCCGAAAGGCGUAGUCGAUGGGAAACGGGUUAAUAUUCCCGUACUUGGUGUUACUGCGAAGGGGGGACGGAGAAGGCUAUGUUGGCCGGGCGACGGUUGUCCCGGUUUAAGCGUGUAGGUGUGUGUUCCAGGUAAAUCCGGUUCACUUUAACACUGAGGCGUGACGACGAGGCACUACGGUGCUGAAGCAACAAAUGCCCUGCUUCCAGGAAAAGCCUCUAAGCAUCAGGUAACAUCAAAUCGUACCCCAAACCGACACAGGUGGUCAGGUAGAGAAUACCAAGGCGCUUGAGAGAACUCGGGUGAAGGAACUAGGCAAAAUGGUGCCGUAACUUCGGGAGAAGGCACGCUGACACGUAGGUGAAGUGAUUUACUCAUGGAGCUGAAGUCAGUCGAAGAUACCAGCUGGCUGCAACUGUUUAUUAAAAACACAGCACUGUGCAAACACGAAAGUGGACGUAUACGGUGUGACGCCUGCCCGGUGCCGGAAGGUUAAUUGAUGGGGUCAGCGCAAGCGAAGCUCCUGAUCGAAGCCCCGGUAAACGGCGGCCGUAACUAUAACGGUCCUAAGGUAGCGAAAUUCCUUGUCGGGUAAGUUCCGACCUGCACGAAUGGCGUAAUGAUGGCCAGGCUGUCUCCACCCGAGACUCAGUGAAAUUGAACUCGCUGUGAAGAUGCAGUGUACCCGCGGCAAGACGGAAAGACCCCGUGAACCUUUACUAUAGCUUGACACUGAACAUUGAGCCUUGAUGUGUAGGAUAGGUGGGAGGCUUUGAAGUGUGGACGCCAGUCUGCAUGGAGCCGACCUUGAAAUACCACCCUUUAAUGUUUGAUGUUCUAACGUGGACCCGUUACCCGGGUUGCGGACAGUGUCUGGUGGGUAGUUUGACUGGGGCGGUCUCCUCCUAAAGAGUAACGGAGGAGCACGAAGGUUGGCUAAUCCUGGUCGGACAUCAGGAGGUUAGUGCAAUGGCAUAAGCCAGCUUGACUGCGAGCGUGACGGCGCGAGCAGGUGCGAAAGCAGGUCAUAGUGAUCCGGUGGUUCUGAAUGGAAGGGCCAUCGCUCAACGGAUAAAAGGUACUCCGGGGAUAACAGGCUGAUACCGCCCAAGAGUUCAUAUCGACGGCGGUGUUUGGCACCUCGAUGUCGGCUCAUCACAUCCUGGGGCUGAAGUAGGUCCCAAGGGUAUGGCUGUUCGCCAUUUAAAGUGGUACGCGAGCUGGGUUUAGAACGUCGUGAGACAGUUCGGUCCCUAUCUGCCGUGGGCGCUGGAGAACUGAGGGGGGCUGCUCCUAGUACGAGAGGACCGGAGUGGACGCAUCACUGGUGUUCGGGUUGUCAUGCCAAUGGCACUGCCCGGUAGCUAAAUGCGGAAGAGAUAAGUGCUGAAAGCAUCUAAGCACGAAACUUGCCCCGAG